AGGUCACCCACAGCAAUCCAAAGAAGAAGAAAACUGCAGGUCUAAAUGAUUGCAGUCAUGUCUAAAGCAGGAAGCAACAUAAAAGCUGGGUUCUGAUAAAAUGAUAAUUAAUCUGUUGGCAAAGGUGUAAAAGAAAGGAAAUGGUGAAGGAGGUAGAAGAUGAUGAAGACACUCAGCCACAGAGAGGGAAAGUACUGUUACUCUCACACAUCAGUAUGCCCCUAAAUUUUAGCUUUUGCUAGGAGAACAAUUCACUUUUGAUAGUUUUAGUCAUUAUUUUUAUCUGUGGGCUUCUCUAUGGCGCUCUGAUCUGCUAGGGAUCAUGCCUAUCAUUCAGAUAUAAGAUAAAGAUGAAUGUGCACAAAAAUAUAUUUUGGGGUAUUUCUGUAUUCCUUAUUACAAGGAAGAUCGACAUUUCCAAUCAGCAUUAAGAAAAACUUGAACUCGGGAGACUGUUGUUUGACCUCAGCAGAACACAGCAAAAUGCUCUUUGUCACCAGCCCCAGGCAGUUUGGCCACAGAACAGCUUUGCUCCCAGGCCUGCUUUAGUGGCUGCCUCUCCUGCUUGGACUCCUCAGACUUUACUUGUGCCCUGCUGUACAAUCAACCACUCAGUCCCAUCUUACUCGUUUCUUUGCCUUUUGAUAGUCAGCCAUCUUCUGCUGCGCGUUUGCUAGGGGAGUCCUUCCUUAUGCUCCCCCUCCUGGCAGGUGUGGGAGAGCCCUGACUUGCUUGGUGCUUCUCUUACCACCCGCUUUUCUUUUCCAGGGCCUACUCUGCUUUCUUUUCCUUUGGAAACCAUGUGAGGCUUUCUCAAUAAGCUCCAUUGUAUUUCAUAUCUAAGUUCACUUCUUAUUUUGUGUUAUGAAUUCAUUUGUUUUCUUUGAGUCUGCUAAGUGCAACUAGUCUGUGCGUGGCUCAUUAAAUUACUUCUAAGCAGCUACAGCCAAACCUCAGCCAGUAGCCUCGGUUAAAGAGGUGGUAUUUUUCUUGC